AUUGAACGCUGGCGGCAUGCCUUACACAUGCAAGUCGAACGGUAACAGGUCUUCGGAUGCUGACGAGUGGCGCACGGGGGAGUAAUACAUCGAAACGUGCCCGAUCGUGGGGGAGAACACGUCGAAAGCUUUGCUCAUACAGCAUACGCUCUACGGAUGAGAGCGGGGGGUCUUCUGACAUCGCGCGGACGCAGCGGCCUAUGGCGGAUUAGGUAGUGGGUGGGGUAAAAGCCUACCAAGGCGACGAUCUGUAGCUGGUCUGAGAGGAUGAUCAGCCACACUGAAACUGAGACACGGUCCAGACUCCUACGGGAGGCAGCAGUGGGGAAUAUUGGACAAUGGGCGAAAGCCUGAUCCAGCCAUGCCGCGUGUGUGAAGAAGGUCUUCGGAUUGUAAAGCACUUUAAGUUGGGAGGAAGGGCAGUAAGUUAAUACCUUGCUGUUUUGACGUUACCAACAGAAUAAGCACCGGCUAACUUCGUG
rnacentral:rRNA from 1 species